UCUUUAGUAGAAGGAUAACAUGACAUAGCAGGAAUAAUACUGCCUUUUCUUUCUGGCAUGGAUCAAGAGAAAAGAAAAUACAAGAAAACAGACAGAAGCAAGGCAAGGUACUUCUAUGGAAGGGUGAGCCCUCACAGAUGGAGCAAUGGGGCGCGCACACCUGAACAAGGGAGGGGAAGGAGUUCUUAUCCCUGAUGCAUGUGACCCCUGCUGCUGUGUCCUUCCCCUAUUGGCUAAGGUUAGACCACACAGCCUAAACUAAUUCCGAUUGGCUAAUUCAAAGAGAGCGACGGGGGCUUCUGACAGCUUUGGAGAUUGUGACAUUGGAAUAAAGGAAAAACGUACAGGACUCAUGAAGCGCUGAAAUGUUCACAAAUAUCAAGCAAAAGUCAAUGAAAUUUAUUUUGAGCUAUUUACAUCAUUUAAUAAUUGAGCAAGGUAUACUCCUAUGAACAAAAUUUGGAGCAUGUUUGUCUCUCUCUGCCUGGCGUCUUCAGAAUUUGGAAACUAGUUAGUCAUGGAAAUUUAUUUUGAGCUAUUUACAGCAUUUAAUAAUUGAGCAAGGUAUACUCCUAUGAACAAAAUUUGGAGCAUGUUUGUCUCUCUCUGUCUGCCUGGCAUCUACAGAAUUUGGAAACUAGUUGUAAGUAUUCCUAACUUAUGGCAGUAUAAUUGUUUGCAUCAGUACAAUAAGAAUCCACUUUCUUUUGCAACAGGAUGCAAUUGGAGAAACUGGUUGUUUUACCAAGGCUUUGACUGGAAGGAUAUGCUUCCCUUUAAGAAACCAAGCUCAACUUACAGAGCUGAUAAAACCCCUUUGGGAAAACUGGCCUCAUACCUUGUCUACACAGUCCCCAUGCAGGGUUCCUAACGUGUGGUGAGUAAAGCAUGUCACUUUCUAACAGGUCCAGGAACCCCAUGUUCUUGGGACCUCAAGAAGAGUGGAGUUUACCAAUUCACAGGUAUUCGAGGGUAAAAACCCAUGGGUGGUUUCAGCUUCAGGAAGUCCUAUCUGAGAUUCCUUGUGGAACAGCGUUCCAUCAAAGCCAAUUUAAAAAGCCUAUGUCAAAAUAAUUAUUCUUGCUACACUCUAUGCAAAUAAACAGGCCAAGUAUAGGACUAAAGUUUAUUUUGCAAACAGCUUAGUCCUAUCAUGAUUUGUUUUUAACAAAGAUGAAGACUGGAGAAAGAAAUUAUGUUUCAAAACUUAUUAUACAUUUGUCAUUAAAUUCUAGACUCAUUA
rnacentral:lncRNA from 1 species